rnacentral:rRNA from 1 species
GCGAAAGUUACGCUAAUACCGCAUACGAUCUACGGAUGAAAGUGGGGGAUCGCAAGACCUCAUGCUCAUGGAGCGGCCGAUAUCUGAUUAGCUAGUUGGUGGGGUAAAAGCUCACCAAGGCGACGAUCAGUAGCUGGUCUGAGAGGACGACCAGCCACACUGGAACUGAGACACGGUCCAGACUCCUACGGGAGGCAGCAGUGGGGAAUUUUGGACAAUGGGCGCAAGCCUGAUCCAGCAAUGCCGCGUGAGUGAAGAAGGCCUUCGGGUUGUAAAGCUCUUUUGUCAGGGAAGAAACGGUUCGGGCUAAUAUCCUGGGCUAAUGACGGUACCUGAAGAAUAAGCACCGGCUAACUACGUGCCAGCAGCCGCGGUAAUACGUAGGGUGCAAGCGUUAAUCGGAAUUACUGGGCGUAAAGCGUGCGCAGGCGGUUGUGCAAGACAGAUGUGAAAUCCCCGGGCUCAACCUGGGAAUUGCAUUUGUGACUGCACGGCUAGAGUGUGUCAGAGGGGGGUAGAAUUCCACGUGUAGCAGUGAAAUGCGUAGAGAUGUGGAGGAAUACCGAUGGCGAAGGCAGCCCCCUGGGAUAACACUGACGCUCAUGCACGAAAGCGUGGGGAGCAAACAGGAUUAGAUACCCUGGUAGUCCACGCCCUAAACGAUGUCUACUAGUUGUCGGGUCUUAAUUGACUUGGUAACGCAGCUAACGCGUGAAGUAGACCGCCUGGGGAGUACGGUCGCAAGAUUAAAACUCAAAGGAAUUGACGGGGACCCGCACAAGCGGUGGAUGAUGUGGAUUAAUUCGAUGCAACGCGAAAAACCUUACCUACCCUUGACAUGUCCGGAAUCCUUGAGAGAUCAGGGAGUGCUCGAAAGAGAAUCGGAACACAGGUGCUGCAUGGCUGUUGUCAGCUCGUGUCGUGAGAUGUUGGGUUAAGUCCCGCAACGAGCGCAACCCUUGUCAUUAGUUGCUACGAAAGGGCACUCUAAUGAGACUGCCGGUGACAAACCGGAGGAAGGUGGGGAUGACGUCAAGUCCUCAUGGCCCUUAUGGGUAGGGCUUCACACGUCAUACAAUGGUACAUACAGAGGGCCGCCAACCCGCGAGGGGGAGCUAAUCCCAGAAAGUGUAUCGUAGUCCGGAUUGUAGUCUGCAACUCGACUACAUGAAGUUGGAAUCGCUAGUAAUCGCGGAUCAGCAUGUCGCGGUGAAUACGUUCCCGGGUCUUGUACACACCGCCCGUCACACCAUGGGAGCGGGUUUCACCAGAAGUGGGUAGCCUAACCGCAAGGAGGGCGCUCACCACGGUGGGAUUCGUGACUGGGGUGAAGUCGUAACAAGGUA